rfam:Eubacterium sp. CAG:156 genomic scaffold, scf184
AAAUGACGAGGGUAAACUAUUUGAAAAAAUAGGGCACAAAGCUAUGAGCCUAAAGCAACAUUUGCAAUGGUCGUCUGGCUGCAAUU